rnacentral:rRNA from 1 species
GAUGAACGCUGGCGGCGUGCCUAAUACAUGCAAGUCGAGCGAACAGACGAGGAGCUUGCUUCUCUGACGUUAGCGGCGGACGGGUGAGUAACACGUGGAUAACCUACCUAUAAGACUGGGAUAACUUCGGGAAACCGGAGCUAAUACCGGAUAAUAUAUUGAACCGCAUGGUUCAAUAGUGAAAGACGGUUUUGCUGUCACUUAUAGAUGGAUCCGCGCCGCAUUAGCUAGUUGGUAAGGUAACGGCUUACCAAGGCAACGAUGCGUAGCCGACCUGAGAGGGUGAUCGGCCACACUGGAACUGAGACACGGUCCAGACUCCUACGGGAGGCAGCAGUAGGGAAUCUUCCGCAAUGGGCGAAAGCCUGACGGAGCAACGCCGCGUGAGUGAUGAAGGUCUUCGGAUCGUAAAACUCUAUUAUUAGGGAAGAACAAAUGUGUAAGUAACUAUGCACGUCUUGACGGUACCUAAUCAGAAAGCCACGGCUAACUACGUG